GACGAACGCUGGCGGCGUGCUUAACACAUGCAAGUCGAACGGAAAGGCCCUGCUUUUGUGGGGUGCUCGAGUGGCGAACGGGUGAGUAACACGUGAGUAACCUGCCCUUGACUUUGGGAUAACUUCAGGAAACUGGGGCUAAUACCGGAUAGGAGCUCCUGCUGCAUGGUGGGGGUUGGAAAGUUUCGGCGGUUGGGGAUGGACUCGCGGCUUAUCAGCUUGUUGGUGGGGUAGUGGCUUACCAAGGCUUUGACGGGUAGCCGGCCUGAGAGGGUGACCGGCCACAUUGGGACUGAGAUACGGCCCAGACUCCUACGGGAGGCAGCAGUGGGGAAUAUUGCACAAUGGGCGGGAGCCUGAUGCAGCAACGCCGCGUGCGGGAUGACGGCCUUCGGGUUGUAAACCGCUUCCGCCUGUGACGAAGCGUGAGUGACGGUAAUGGGUAAAGAAGCACCGGCUAACUACGUG
rnacentral:rRNA from 1 species